GAGUUUGAUCCUGGCUCAGGAUGAACGCUAGCGGCAGGCUUAACACAUGCAAGUCGAGGGGUAACGGGGAAGCUUGCUUCCGCCGACGACCGGCGCACGGGUGCGUAACGCGUAUACAAUCUACCUUGUACUGGGGUAUAGCCUUUAGAAAUGAAGAUUAACCCCCCAUAGUCUCUUAGAGUGGCAUCACUUCUAGAGUAAAGGUUACGGUAUAAGAUGAGUAUGCGUUCUAUUAGUUUGUUGGUGUGGUAACGGCACACCAAGACUACGAUAGAUAGGGGCCCUGAGAGGGGGAUCCCCCACACUGGUACUGAGACACGGACCAGACUCCUACGGGAGGCAGCAGUGAGGAAUAUUGGACAAUGGAGGCAACUCUGAUCCAGCCAUGCCGCGUGCAGGAAGACUGCCCUAUGGGUUGUAAACUGCUUUUAUACAGGAAGAAACACCUCUACGUGUAGAGGCUUGACGGUACUGUAAGAAUAAGGAUCGGCUAACUCCGUGCCAGCAGCCGCGGUAAUACGGAGGAUCCAAGCGUUAUCCGGAAUCAUUGGGUUUAAAGGGUCCGUAGGUGGAUAAUUAAGUCAGAGGUGAAAUCUUGCAGCUCAACUGUAAAAUUGCCUUUGAAACUGGUUAUCUUGAGUUAUUAUGAAGUAGUUAGAAUAUGUAGUGUAGCGGUGAAAUGCAUAGAUAUUACAUAGAAUACCAAUUGCGAAGGCAGAUUACUAAUAAUCAACUGACACUGAUGGACGAAAGCGUGGGUAGCGAACAGGAUUAGAUACCCUGGUAGUCCACGCCGUAAACGAUGGUUACUAGCUGUUUGGACUUCGGUCUGAGUGGCUAAGCGAAAGUGAUAAGUAACCCACCUGGGGAGUACGUUCGCAAGAAUGAAACUCAAAGGAAUUGACGGGGGCCCGCACAAGCGGUGGAGCAUGUGGUUUAAUUCGAUGAUACGCGAGGAACCUUACCAGGGCUUAAAUGUAAGUUGCAUUAGUUAGAGAUAGCUAUUUCUUCGGACCACUUACAAGGUGCUGCAUGGUUGUCGUCAGCUCGUGCCGUGAGGUGUCAGGUUAAGUCCUAUAACGAGCGCAACCCCUGUUGUUAGUUGCCAGCGAGUCAUGUCGGGAACUCUAGCAAGACUGCCAGUGCAAACUGUGAGGAAGGUGGGGAUGACGUCAAAUCAUCACGGCCCUUACGUCCUGGGCUACACACGUGCUACAAUGGUAGGUACAGAGAGCAGCCACUGCGCGAGCAGGAGCGAAUCUAUAAAACCUAUCACAGUUCGGAUCGGAGUCUGCAACUCGACUCCGUGAAGCUGGAAUCGCUAGUAAUCGGAUAUCAGCCAUGAUCCGGUGAAUACGUUCCCGGGCCUUGUACACACCGCCCGUCAAGCCAUGGAAGUUGGAAGUGCCUGAAGUCCGUCACCGUAAGGAGCGGCCUAGGGUAAAGUCGAUAACUAGGGCUAAGUCGUAACAAGGUAACC
rnacentral:rRNA from 1 species